UCGCCGACCAAAAGAGCAGCUGUCCAUUUCGGGAGUCGGCUUGUCACGCCAUCGAUUCACCGCCGGCUAUGGGAGAUUUGGUGAUGACGAGUCGGAUUUCCUCCGCAAGUUGCCAUUUCCGACCACGAGCCUGCAUCAUCCGCUGGCCACUGCUUUGGGGCAUUUAUCGCCAAGGCUAGGGCAGGGCUCGACCUCACUGUCAUGAGCAGCCUCAAGCUCUGGUUUCUUUCCCUAGCCGACGAUGCCUGUUCGAGGGAGGUUAGGACAGCAACACUGAUGGCCAGCAGUAGCAUUCAUCCGAGAGGAGUUUAUGGAAUUGGAUUAAUUCUUGAAGGCAGUGGCUUCGCUUGGCUUCGCUUGGUUUCGCUCUUCACAUC